rnacentral:rRNA from 1 species
AACGAACGCUGGCGGCAGGCCUAACACAUGCAAGUCGAGCGCACCCUUCGGGGUGAGCGGCGGACGGGUGAGUAACGCGUGGGAACGUGCCCUUCUCUGCGGAAUAGCCUCGGGAAACUGAGAGUAAUACCGCAUACGCCCUUUGGGGGAAAGAUUUAUCGGAGAAGGAUCGGCCCGCGUUGGAUUAGGUAGUUGGUGGGGUAAUGGCCCACCAAGCCGACGAUCCAUAGCUGGUUUGAGAGGAUGAUCAGCCACACUGGGACUGAGACACGGCCCAGACUCCUACGGGAGGAAGCAGUGGGGAAUCUUAGACAAUGGGGGCAACCCUGAUCUAGCCAUGCCGCGUGAGUGAUGAAGGCCUUAGGGUUGUAAAGCUCUUUCAGCUGGGAAGAUAAUGACGGUACCAGCAGAAGAAGCCCCGGCUAACUCCGUG